CGUCAAAUCAUCAUGGCUCUUACGACCGGGGCUAGACACGUGCUACAAUGGUGACUACAAUGGGUUGCUACUUAGUAAUAAGAUGCUAAUCUCAAAAAAGUCAUCUCAGUUCGGAUUGAGGUCUGCAACUCGACCUCAUGAAGUUGGAAUCGCUAGUAAUCGCGCAUCAGCAUGGCGCGGUGAAUACGUUCCCGGGCCUU
rnacentral:rRNA from 1 species